rnacentral:rRNA from 1 species
GCUUGCUUUUUGCUGACGAGUGGCGAACGGGUGCGUAACGCGUAUGCAACCUACCUUCUUCUGAGGAAUAGCCCAGAGAAAUUUGGAUUAAAACCUCAUGAUAAUAUUUAUUCGCAUGUUUAAAUAUUUAAAAUUUCGAUGGAAGAAGAUGGGCAUGCGUAACAUUAGUUUGUUGGUGAGGUAAUGGCUUACCAAGACUACGAUGUUUAGGGGGUCUGAGAGGAUGAUCCCCCACACUGGUACCGAGACACGGACCAGACUCCUACGGGAGGCAGCAGUGAGGAAUAUUGGUCAAUGGACGAAAGUCUGAACCAGCCAUGCCGCGUGAAGGAUGACUGCCCUACGGGUUGUAAACUUCUUUUGUAUAGGAAGAAACCCCUCUACGUGUAGAGGGUUGACGGUACUAUUCGAAUAAGCACCGGCUAACUCCGUGCCAGCAGCCGCGGUAAUACGUAGGGUGCGAGCGUUAUCCGGAAUUAUUGGGUUUAAAGGGUGCGUAGGCGGAAAUUUAAGUCAGUGGUGAAAGCCUGCAGCUUAACUGUAGAAUUGCCAUUGAUACUGAAUUUCUUGAAUCUAAUUGAAGUAGGCGGAAUAUGACAUGUAGCGGUGAAAUGCUUAGAUAUGUCAUAGAACACCGAUAGCGAAGGCAGCUUACUAAGUUAGUAUUGACGCUAAUGCAC